rnacentral:rRNA from 1 species
AUGCCUCGUCGAUCAAAGGCAUUGUCACAGCGAACCACCCCGCAGAAAUGUCGAGCACGACGGGCACCACGUCGCGGCCUGAGGGAGAUUCUCAAUGUGUUGAUCUCGCUGCUGAAGGAGCAGAGACAAUUGGUGCAGCAUGAGGUCGCGGCCGCGACGACCCUGCGGCCCGCGCACACGAGGUCAAGGGCUCGAUGUAGAACUCAUUGCCGAUACUGGGGAGGCGCCGUCGCAGCACCAAUAGGUCCUGCAGCCUGCUACACGGUAGCUCUCAAACUGCGCAAAGUCAAGAUUGAUGCUAUGGUACCAUUAAUGAUUCCAGCAGAAGAUAUUUGCAACCUGAAGUGUUACACAAGGUCAGCUUCAAGGCUAUGA